UUUAAAGCGCGUAGCUUGAGGAAAGGAUAACAAUAACCGAUCCCCUGAAGAAGCCUAAUCUGCAAGAGAAAAGCUUGACCGUCCAUAUUUAACCCUAGUUCUACCCCAAGGUUCAACCCUGGUUAAGUUAAGCCUUCCAGGCUUUUAGCAACCCUAGGGAACCUCUAUUACUGUAUAUAGUUUGAGAAGCAGACCCUGCUUGUAGCUGCAAGUUGCCACUACCAAAGCAGCAGACCAGAGUCAGAUACUAUUACUAUUUAUAUACGCAUUUUAUGGUAUUAUAAUAAUGCUAGUAGUGGAAAAUAGCAACGAAAGGCAUGCAAAUGAUGAGAAUCAUUUUGGGUAUGAGAAGCUCGCCCAAUAUUUUAAUGCGAGCGAUGUUUACACCUCAAACUUCCAUGACUCUGAUGCGACCCAGCAUCAGAUAGGGCACCUGGAGCUUGGAGGAUCGAUUUUGGACCCAUGAAGUUGUUCAGAGUCGGACCAUAAUGAUGUAGCAAUACAUAGCAAUAACUUGGCCAUGCUCAGCGCCACCAAUAAUAGCGGGGUGUUAUAGGUAAAACUGACAAUUCUUUAUUUGAAUGUCUGGAAAAAAGCAAACAACAUCUUGGGAAAUACAAAUAGAGAGCAGUGAAAAUUAAACAAACACCGAUAGCCACGCAAUAGAAUAUAAGCAGGUAAAGGGUACUAUUCUCAA